GUCUCGUCACUGCUCUCAAACAAAAUGUUCCAGGACAGAAGGAUUUCACUGACACGACUCUUAUUUUCAAGCACCUAUUCCAAUAUGAAGUGGCACACACCUUUUUCCCUUGCAGCACGGAGCAAUACUUCCCAGUCUUUGUCAUCAUAUCAUUGCUAGCCUGUUGAAAGAGCUUUUCCUUGGGCAGGAAAGCAUGUACCCACUGUGCUUCAGGUGAUUUUUUAUCUUCAGGUGUAGUCCAUGGAGGGCUGUGAAACUUCUGCAGAGAUCUCUACUGGAAGCUGCUCUAAUUACUGUUUGGAGGAUGCAGAACAUGAAGUAUGUGAAAUGUGCAGGUACCUUUUCAGAAGACACCUCUGCAGUCUUUCAUAUCCUCUUUCUGGUUUAGAUCACAGUGUGCUGAGGGGAUGCUUAAACUCAGAUGAUGUAACUUCUUAUGACCUUCCUAGUCUUCAUUUACCGAAUCAAAUUUACUUUAAGGAUUUUAUUAGUUUGAAAUUUUGUUAUAAAAAUGGCUUUUUAUUCCUCUUGUUACCCCCUUUGGAAAACAAUUGGAGAGAGCAAUGUGAUCAAAGCU